rfam:Synechococcus sp. RCC307 genomic DNA sequence.
UGGAGUCACUAGGGGUGCCGUCGCCGGAUCAACGGCUAUGGCUGAGAUCACACCCUCCGAACCUGAUUCCGGGUUAUGCCGGCGCAGGGAAGUGCUGGAUGUGCGGC